AUGCCAGGAGACAACACAGAAAACUCUGCACAUCUUUCAGAUGGACAAUAAGAAGGGACAAUAUCCGAGCCACAUCCCUGCACACACAGUGCACAAGAGCAUAUUCUUAUCACAAGCAAUGAAAUCUACUACUACUGCAGUGGUGCAGAGAGGAGAAGAAAUCUGAGUGGAAAGUGUACUGGAAGGAAGACCGUUUCUGGGCAUCAGAAAAUGAAGCAGAUGUUUGACAGUCAGGUGUUUGAGGGAAUUCUAGGCAGAGGAAUCAGCGCAAGGCAAGUAAGUCCAAGAGGCUUGAAACCAAAAGAUGAGAUUUUCAUGCAUAUCAUAAUUGAGAAAUGAAGUUCUUCACAAAACCCUUGAAGGUUAUUUUCUUUAUUUACUGCUGGUAAUGAAAUGAUAAAAGUGCUCAAAGCACUUUUUAGUUGGUUAUGAAGAGAAAUCAAUACUGCUUUGUGUUUCAAAAAGGAAAGGCAUGCAAGGACGCUGAGGUGAGAGUGUUGAGACAAAAAGAGUAUUUAUGUCUACAGUUGGGAGGUGGCAGAAGAAGAAUUCAAGAACAAGUCUCAUUCUAUGAAAAGGCAAAAUGCUGCUCUCAUCAAGAAUACCAUGUACUUCAAAGAAACUUCAUGAGACUCGGAAUACAUCUCUAGUGGGGCACCUGUCUCCUUGCCCAGGCCCUGGGCUACUUCUGUAGCCACAUUCACUAUUCCCAAGCCCCCCUCUCACUCUUCUAAUUAUAUCAAAUGUACAUUCAUAAAAUAUACUAGGCUUUUUUUUUUAUGUCUUUUUGCCUUUGACUGUCUUAGAAUGACUUUCUAUUUGUUCAACUCUUCUGCUACACAUAGCUCAUGUGUUACACUCUCCAGGAUUCCUUUGCAAACUCCUUCAAGGAGUCUGCUCUUUCUCCUUCAUUUCCAAUAACAUUCUGUUGAAUCUCUCCUCAGGGGAUGUGCAUUGUUAUGUGAUUACUCAUUUGCCUUUUCUGCUCAAAUGUAAACUGUUAGAAGGUUCUUUCUUUCAAUAUGCCUGGCAUCUAAAUACAAAAAUGUCUGUAUAUUUUUACAUGUAUUCUUAUAUUUA